rnacentral:lncRNA from 1 species
GAACGUGUUACCCUCCUUCCUCACGGGUACAAAGGGGUAAAUCCCUAAAUCCCAUUUCACCUCUUAUCUUCUUCUAUGGCAGCGAGGAGCUUCGAGGAACGACGCACCAAUGGCGAGCGGUGAAUGAGGUUCCACCAUGCGACAUAGCCAUCGAUUCGCGUUGCUCUCUCUUUGAUCUCACUCGCGAUGGUCCUCCCCGCAUAAGCUUUUACUCUUUCGUCCUUAACGGUGGUGAAAGGCCACCAUCUCUCCUUAUCUGAGUAGAAUGGUAACUGGCCUUUAUCAUGUAACUCAUGGCUGGUUUGUGUGAAUGCUUUGGAAUAAUUAUUAUUUACUUAAGUGUAUGUGUAACCAGAAGAGAAUAUGUAUUCUGGUUUGCUGCUUUUGAACUACCAUCUGCCUUAUUCAGGGAAUCAUGGUUAUAACUAUCUUCCAAGAGGUAUUUGUAUGCUAGAAGUAUCGAUUGUAUCCAUUGUAUGUACAUUAGUAAGAACUUUUGUGACUGAUUCCCCUAGUUUAAUGUGUCCAUUCAAGAACAAUUCUAUGCAUAUCUUCCUGAUGAGGAUUCUACAAAUCACGUUAUUGUCAUUGUCUUCAUUUGCUGCCAAUCCUCUCUCUCUAGCUGAUGUUAUCUUGGCUGUUUUCUCAUUUGGGUUAAUGCUGGAUUUUUAGGUUCAAGUGCAGACCUGGUAAUGGCUUGUGGGCGUUGGCCAAAGCCAAAAUCAACACUAAAGGGUUUUGGUUAUGGAUCCCUUGCCCCUUCUAUUAAUAAGGAUGUUGUUAUUGCUCUAUUUCUUGUGCUAAUAUAUUCUGUUUGUUUUUGCAGUGGAUGAUUCUAUUUGGUGCUAGACUCAUUGUCCGUUCCAUUUGGUUCACCAUAUCUCUUCGCCUCUUUCAUUAUUUUACAUCAUCAUUAAUUGUUGGUACCAAAGAGCAACACAAGCUUCAGAUGCGAAAUCCCAGUGUCCAGGUGAGAUGCUAUAAUAAGGUUUCAAUUGUAGUCUAGUUUUCUGCACAUAUGCAAGAGCAGUGAGAUUCCUUUCUCACUUAGCCUUUUGUCACGGUUGCUCAUCAAUUUAAUCAGGGGUAACUUUUUCACAACUNNNNNNNNNNNNNNNNNNNNNNNNNNNNNNNNNNNNNNNNNNNNNNNNNNNNNNNNNNNNNNNNNNNNNNNNNNNNNNNNNNNNNNNNNNNNNNNNNNNNAUGCACCCUUUUAUUCCAAAUUCGUGCCACUGUUUGUAUGAUAGAUAGUGUAGGCUCCUGAGUAACUUUAUGUCCAGGUUAUGGUCUUUGAUAGCAUUAAUCAAACUAUACCUUAAUUCUUAAUUCGAGUGUUCAUAGUGAUAUGAACUUAUUUUCUAUUGGCUUGCCAACUUUGAUUAUUGCUGAAAGAUGUCAAAAUCCUAUUCUAAAUGAGAGGAAAGUUGGGUGUUGCAUGUAAAUUAAUUUAGAAGACAUAGUUGAUUUUUGGGCAUUACCACAUAUGAAUCAUAUCCAACAAUAUUAAUCUGCAACUUAAUUACCCAAAUGCUCUUGCGAAUCAUGAAACCAUUUAUAUAAUUUUUGAGUUUUGCAUCAAAGAUAAAAAGUAAAGGUAGGAGAAAAUUGGGUGUUCACACUUAUAAUAUAAAACUCCCCUAGGGGAAUCUAGAGGCUACCAUAUGCAUAUACGUAGGCACAUGAAAUGACUAAUUGAUAACUAAUUGAUAACAUCAUUGGAACUUCCUCUGGUACAAGGGAAGUCCACCCCUUCAAUAUAAUAGAGGAUAUCAUUUCGACAUGAAGUAUCUUCUCACCAUACAUUAUAUCGCCUCCCUAAUUAUGUGCUUCCGUUAAUAAAUAUUGACUAGAGCAUCAUAAUUGUUUUUCAAGAACCCACCUAUGGUUGUCCAAGGCCAAUUCUCAGUCCAACUCAAUUAGAAUUUUUAGUGUCAUGUCAUCUCCUCAAUUAUACACAAAGAACACUAGUCUUGUAUCUAGCUUUCUCAGACCAUGGUUACUGUAACGCCCCAAAAAUUACUCCAACAAUAUUGCCCAAAAAUGUGCAAUUUUUUUUAUAAUGUAAAACUCCUCAUUUACAUUUAACUCCUUUUCGGGACAUCACAUUUAGUAACCUAAAAUGCGGAAAAGACAACAAUAAUUCGUGGAAUGAUCCUUUAUUGAACUAACUGAAAACAUAUACAAAGGCAAAGCGAAAUACAUUUUAAUCCUAACUGAAAUGUUUACAAUAGUCUGGUUUAUUCAGAACAUUAUAAGUACCCUACACAGAUACUCGCCUCAAGGGCAACUAGAAAUAGAAAUGACCACUAAAGACUAGCUCCGGGGUUAGCGGUGUACUACACUCGCUGGGAUCCUCCUCCGUCUUAGAAUCGGAAGAAAGGUCCACCCCCUCAAUGGAGUCCUCUAUACAUACCAACUCCACACAGUCUUCCUCUUCGGCUUCUCGCUCAUCUUCCGGGUUGUUGGACGAACACUGUGACUUUCUUUCCACUCUCGCCUCUGCCUGAAGAUUGGGCGACGGCGGUAUAGCAGCUCUCUUCCCCGGUGGGGAACUGAGCAUAUCAUCCCUACUCCAUCUCCGAGCAGAUGGUCCAACAUUAGUGAGUCCAUGAGGAAUCACACACUGAAUGGAUGAUGCAGUAGGCGCAAAUCUCCGAGCAUACAAGGUGAAUGAAGCAUCCAAGUUUGUAUGCUAAGACGUAGACCCGUCACAAACCAUCUUUAGCUCUAAGGCACAAGAGCCUGUGUAGGUAUAUCUAUGUCCAUCACUACUCCAUGUCCCCUCUUGAGACAUCGAGAAUUGGUAGCUCCGAAUCCUUACCGUACGGUCCAUCUGAACGAGAACGCGAAUCGAGAACAAGCAGAAAGAAAAGAAAAGAAGAAAGAGUAAGAUAUCUAAUGAAUAUAAUUCAUUGACGGCAUGGAAUUACACGGAAUAUCACAUCCAGACAAACACGCAUAAUAUACACAAUAUAGAUCACAAACAUAAUGCACAAUGAUGAAUGCGGUUAUAACUCGGAUCAUGGGGAUUUAACAUCCACGAUCUCAAUGUAUGAAUGUUAUGCAUAUUUCAUCCAUCCUAACCCCAAUAUCCUCCCAAUAUACUAUUCGGAAAUAACCAAGAGUACAGGUCCCAUAACAAGCCGAUUUGAUCGCACAAAAAAUUAUUCCUCGCAAGGAUAUAUAUAUAUGAUCGAUCGGUUUCGAAGAACUGUCCAUUUCAGGACGGUGUUGUAUCAAACGCUUUCUGGACAUCCCUCUCAUUGAUCCUGAUUGCAAAGAGGGGUUGUCAGAGAUCGUCUAGUUUGCGUUGUGAGAACUGUCCGAUCCAACAUAAUACUUCAUCCAGGAAUACAGGGAACUUGUCACCUAGACUAUCCCUCAAGACUUUGCUGACGAAUCACGGCCAUCGCCGUCCCUCUCAACAUCGCUGGGCUCGUUCGUCUUCCGUAAAUUUCCUCUCCACUACUUCGUUAUUUAUAAUGAAUAUGCACACUAAUCGAAGUUAGCCAAUUAAAUAUUUUAAUUAGUCUUUUAAAAUGAUCGACCCUUCCUAAGACAUCUCCCAAAGGAAUGCUUCUUGUGGGACCCGAUCUUACGUUAUCAUGUAAUAUAGGAAUAACAUCCCUAUCACUACGAAUCAUCGUUGAAUUAUCCUGGACGGCCACAUGGCCAAGCCUCUUACGGUCAAACGACCUCGCUGCGUGGUAUCAUAUAAUAUAGGAAUAACACCCCUACCACUACGAACCAUCGCUGACUUACCCUGGACAGCCACAUGGCCAAGCCUCUUACAGUCAGACGACCUCACUGUGUGGUAUCAUAUAAUAUAGGAAUAACAUCCCUGCCACUAUGAACCAUCGCUGACUUACCCUGGACGACCACAUGGUCAAGCCUCUUACAGUCAGACGACAUCACUGUGUGGUAUCAUAUAAUAUAGGAAUAACAUCCCUACCACUACGAACCAUCAUUGACUUACCCUGAACGGCCACAUGGCCAAGCCUCUUACGGUCAGACGACCUCGUUGCGUGGUAUCAUGUAAUCCUUUUUAGGCAUAGCCUUGCUCACGACAUCCUCGUCGAAAUCAUUGCCCACAUAAGGCGUAAGAACCAAAAGUAAUAGUAUAAGUUUGUUGAUUUAGGCACCAGACUCAAUCCUCUGAGCCAUGGUCUUUCCCAAGUGUAAAUACACUUCACACCCAAGCUAGGGCUAUUGCCUGAGCAAUAAAUUAAUCAGAAACAAUCACAACUUAUGUUUGUCUUUCGCCCAUGCCAGAGACUGUCACUCAAGCGACAAAUUCAUCAAAACAGACUCAAUUUCCUGCAUGGUUCUCGCUCAAGCGAGGGGACUGUCGCUCAAGCUAAAAAUCCACCAAAAACUGGCUAAAAUACCUGCUAGUCUUGCCCGGGCGAAAUACGGUCGCUCGGGCGCCAAAAACGCCAAAAACGGGCCCUCGCCUAGGCGAGAAACGAUCGCCCAAGCGAGGCUGGCUCGCCCAAGCACUAUUUAGGACCAUUCUUCUCUGUCUCUCCCUCGCCCAGGUGAGGCUGGCUCACCCGGGCGAGGUGGUCCAGUUACCAAGACCAUUUUCCUCGCCCUUUUGGGCUACCGGAUCGAAACUCUCCACUGUUUUCNNNNNNNNNNNNNNNNNNNNNNNNNNNNNNNNNNNNNNNNNNNNNNNNNNNNNNNNNNNNNNNNNNNNNNNNNNNNNNNNNNNNNNNNNNNNNNNNNNNNCGGACACCACUAUGUCACGAUGUAUUCUCUCUCACCUUGGGUUGUAGCGUGGUUGAUUCCCUUUCCGUGAAUGGAUCGGUUGUCCGACUUCGAAAGCCUCGAAACUAACACAAAACACAAAUCAAUGAUUCACGAGUUAAAUCGCUUUCCUACUAACUCUAAGAUAAAAACAUCAAUUUAAUCCAUUCUAAGACAUUCGAGACUUUCAUCCAUUCGGUCCAAAAUUCAUAAUAUCUCGUUCCUGAUCCCUAUCGUGUUCAUGAUCAUUUCCACACCUUUUCACAAGGAUUAAUCUCAUGAUCAAAACGACAUUUCGAUUUAAAAUAUUUCUUUGAUUUCAAAAUCAUCAUCUUUGAUCAACAUAAAUAACAUGCAUAUAUUCAAAACACUAAAACAGCCCCAUGAACAACAAAAUUUCAUGGUUUCUGAAACAGCAAUUUCUAGAUUCACGAAAACUCAUGUUUCGUGUUCUUGCGUAUAACAAGAGAUAGGAAGGUAUUUUAGAAAACUUUGACGGUUAAAAAUGUUUGUAACAUACGCAUAGACAUCAUACUCGAAUAUUGAAAACAAUGAACAGCUAGAUUUUCUAAAAGAUUAAGAACAAAAGGGAUGAGGCUUACCUUAAAGUUCGUGCGAAAAUCCAAAGAAAGAAGAAUGAAAUGCAAUGUAGUGCCAAGGGUAUCUCUACCUUGAAUGGGAUCUUUAAGUAGAGUAGUUUAGAUUAGGGGGUGCAAGCCAAGGGUUUCAAGGGGUUUUAUGGUCCUUUUAAGUGGAAUAAAUCAGAAUUAUGGGAAUUGAAUUUGAUUUAUGGAGGCAAACCAAGGGUUUCCAAGAUUAAUGGUGCAAUGGGUAAGUGAAGGGUUUACAAAAUUUAGUGUAAAGAUGAGUAGUUUCACUUGCUUGCCACGCAAGUUUCACUCGGGAAAAUGAGGUGACUUUUUGGUGAAACAUUCGCGAUGAGACCAUGCCCAAGUAUUUUCGGCUAAUACUUGGUUGGAUAUUAAAAUCUUCCGAUUACAGUCAGAAUUUUGAAAUGUCGAAUUCAGAGUGGAAAAAUAUUUGGAAAUACGUUUUGGAUAAACUUAAUGUCUAUCCUAACUCGAAAUAAUAUUUCGAAGCCAAAGGCGCAAUCAGAAUUCGACUCCAAGCUACGGAACUCAAAAAUAUGUUUUUGGGCCGAAUACAGGCGAAUUUGGGUCCGACAGCAGUCCAAAAACUUUUCCUUACAGAAGAUUACGGAAAUUUACCACAAGAUACGAAUUCACAAAAAAAGACUAACACUCCACUAUGGUUUAGCCUAAUUUAUUAUCGAUUAAUUUAUAAAGUUAAUUUUUGUUAAAAAUAAAUAAUUAAUAAAAUAUAUGGAAUUUUCACGGUGUAACAGUUACCACUAGAAACCAAACUUGUAAUAACGAUUACAUCAAUAGGGUCGAGACAAAUUUCAUUCCCUCACAAAAUGCCUCAUCAUAUCCUUAGCAAUUACACCUUAAACCUUCCCACGAAGCCAACAAAACUCAUUCGGUUGUAGUUGCAAGAGAACUAGCAGAUGAAAUUGUCCACGCCAAAACACCCUCCAAUCUAGAGCUCUUAGCACAUCUACAACAAAGAUCUUGUCCAUUUACAUCCAAAAAAUAUAAAAAUGACACAUCAUAUAUAUUACCCCAACCUCCCUUUACCUGCCUAAAAAUGACCCGAGACGCUGAAUCUCAAGGAAAAUAACAUGCCUUGUCAUGUCCAUGAACUACAAGUCAAAGUGUAACCCUAACCCACCUUCCGAACAUGGGAAAAAGACUUCAUUUAAUUUGAGUAUUAUGUUCCUUUAGUUACUAACUAAUAUUUAUUGCUCCUCCAUUAUUGAAGCUUCUAUGUUAUUCCAUGGGGCAUAUGACUCGACCAUGUGUCAUGCUUUUUCCUUCAAACGAAAAAGAGUAGCCCUACAAUGGCUUACCGUCCUAGAACUUAACUAUAAAAGUAGAUGGAGAAAACUUAUGUAUAAGAUUCAGCGUGAUCUUGGAACAACCUCACUCUUGUUAUAAUAUUGUUGAAUUGCAUAAGAAACGGACAAAUCCAAGCAAAACUACCUUGAUUGCUUCAACUACAUGACAAACAAAGUUAGGGUGCUACAUACAUCCAUUGUGGUCCACCUAUUGUUAACCAGUUUGCAACCAUAAAUAUUAAAAGUAAAAAUAUCCAAAGAGCAAGUUAAUUAUGAAGAAGAUCUUGCUCCUAACUUUGACACGAUUUUGAUGAAAACACCAAGAUCACAAAAAGAAGAAAAGGAAGAAGACCAUGAAGUCAUAGAAGAUUAGAGCUUCAAGAUGUUUAUAGAUUAAAGUCUUCAUAUAGGUACUUCUAUCCUUACGCUACUUUAAUAUUUAGUAGCAAUUCUCAAACAAAUCAAAAUCAUUUUUAAAGAAUUUGAUAUCUCUAAAAUGCAAAGUCAAAAUUGCUAAGUAAUGAGUUACUUGAAAUGAGUAACAAGUUACUAUAACUAGGUAACAGGUUAACUGAAUCGUGAGGCAGUUGGUAAUAGGUUACUAGAACUACAUAACAUGUUACCUAACUGAAAAAACAAUCGCAAAGCAAAACUGAAUUAAGUAACCGAUUAAUUAAGUGUGUUAAUCAAUUACCACCUUGGAUAGAAUAUUUGGGUAAUCGAUUACCACUUUGUGACAAUCGAUUACACAGAGUUGUUGAAACAGAUUUUCAAAUUCUAAUGAACAACUUUCAUCCAAAGAGAUUAGGUUUCAUUCUAAUCGUAUCUCCUCUUCACAGAAAGAUAUAUUGGCUGAUUGGAAGCCUAUUUAAAGGCAUUGAGACAUUCAAAUUAAAAACACACAAAAACACAAGUUUUACACAAUCAUACAAAAACUUUCACAACUUAGUAAACAAAAUUCUGCACAUUUUGUUAGCAACAUUGUUCCUAAACUUUCAAAUUUUCUGAAGUUGCUUCCAAAGUGAAUUUGUUCUAAAUUUUCAAAAUAUUAAGAGCAUUAUAUACUAAGUAUUUAUAUUGUGAGAUUAACGAUUUCAUGUUAUAGAAUUAUCAAAUUUUGUAAAGGCAAUCUUGUCAUUGUUAUAUUCUUCAUCUUGGUUCUAAACUUUAAUCAUAAGGGUGUGUUGAGAAGGAGAAAAGAGGUCACUUGAAAAUGGAAUUACCAAGGGUAAAUAAGGUGUGAUUAUGUUAGAUACAAAAGUAUGGAGAGAGAAAUUGUAAUUACAAUUCAAAUUAUCUAGUGAAAAAAUAUCUUGUGUGGCAAGAGUACUGGAUGUAACAUUUGGUGGACAAGAAGGCAAACGAGUAUAAAAACUCUACGCGUACUCUUCUACUUAUUCUUGUCAUUUACAUUUGCUUUACUUAGUAGAAGAGUGCAUAACGUGCACGUAAUGAAAUAAAUGCUUGCAUAAAUGUUAAUUGUCAAAUUUAUCACAUUUUAUAUACUCGAUUAUUGGUUUUCGGGCCAAAUGACAAAAAGUGAUGAGAAAAUAACUGGCUUUUAUCUUCAAGUUUCGAAAAGUAACAUUGCAAUGAUAAUUCAAGCUAUUAAAGAUGAAAACCGAAAAUGGAGUGUAAGGCUAGGCACUUUCAUUGUCGUUAUAAUUAGUCUUUGUUUCAAAUUUUGAUUGUGCUUAGCGUAAUUAUAGUUAUUGUGGUUAUUGCAAUAUAAAUUGCAGGCAUUGCAGCAUAAAAUUUUUGUAAUCAUUAUGGUACGGUCCGAUAUGUCCCUAGUGCAAUUUAAUUGUGAUUUCAUGCAACUGCAUUAUUGUAAUUCAGUGUGACACCACAACUAUGAGGUUAUAUAGUUGUGGAAGUCUCACAACCACAAUAUUACAGCCACAUUAAAGGAUACAGUCCACAAUUUGAUAUAAUUAUUGUAUUAAUAUAGUGAUACACAAUCUUCAAAUGAAGGAGAAACUUUGAGUAAACAAGAGUAGUAGUUAAGAAAGGAUAAAGAAGCUAGCUAACUCUAGAAAAUAUACAUAUUACAAUAAGCAUCAAUAUCUUCUAGUUAAAACUUAUAUGGUGCUCAAUUGUGCAUGAAAAAAUUAUUUUCAUUGUUAACUCAAGUUCAUACUUGUAGAUCUAAAGCAUACUGGACCAACCACAAAAGAUCUAGAUAACCAACGAGUCAGUCGAUAUAAGAGGUCCAGAAUCCAUGAAACCCAAAAUUGCACCAUUAUCUAAACUAACCCCAUAAUAACCAACAAGGUUAAGGAUAUGACAUACAUGAUAACUUAUAAUUUAAAAUUCCCCUAAGGAAUCUAGAGGCGACCAUAUGCAUAUACACAGGCACAUAUAAUGACUAAUUGAUAAGACAUAAGCAUGGGGUCAUCCAUAACAUCAUUGGAACUUCUUCUAGUACAAGGGAAGUCCACCCCUUCGAUAUAAUAGAGGAGAUCAUUUCCACAUGAAGUAUCUUCUUACCAUACACUAUAUCCCCUCUCUAAUUACAUGUUUCCGUUAAUAAAUAUGGACUAGAGUGUCAUAAUUUCUUUACAAGAACCCACAUAUGGUAGUCGAAGGCCAAUUCUCAGUCCAACUCAACUAAAAUUUUUAGUGUCAUGUCAUCUCCUCAAUUAUACACAAAGCACACUAAUCAUGUCUCUAGCUUUCUCAAAUCAUGGUUACCACUAGAAACCAAAUCCGUCAUCACAAUUAUAUCAAUAGGGUCCAGACAAAUUCCAUUCCCUCACUAAAUGUCUUAUCCUAUCAUUAGAAAUCACAUCUUAAACCUUUGCAAGAGAACUACCAAAUGAAAUUGUCCAUGCCUAAACACCAUCCAAUCUAGAGCUAUUAGCACAUAUAGAACAACAAUAACCAAUAUCUUGUCCAGAUACAACGAUCCAAUAAAUAUAAAAAUGACCCAACAUAUAUAUUACCCCAAACUCCCUUUACCUGCCUAAAAAUGACCCAAGAGGUCGAAUCUCAAGGAAAAUAACAUGUCUUGUCAUGUCCACGAACUACAAGCCAAAGUGUAACCCUAACCCGACUUCCAAACAUGGAGAAAUGACCUCACUUAAAUUGAGUAUUAUGUUCCUUUAGUUAGUAAUUAAUCUUUAUUUCUUCUCCAUUAUUGAAGCCUCUAUGUUAUUCCAUGGGGCAUAUUAAUCGACCAUGUGUCAUGCUUUUUCCUUCAUACGAAAAAGAGCAGCCCUACAAUGGCUUACCUUCCUAGAACUCAACUAGAAAAGUUGAGGGAGAAAAAUUCUGUAUAAGAUUCACUGUAAUCUCCCAACAACUAAUUGAUCCCCCUCUUAGUUGGCAUCUUCAACUUAAAAUUGGCACUAGAGCUUAUUUUGAGUAAUCUAUUCUCAAAUUAGAUCUUGUAUUUAAGAUGGCCUUAAGAUCAUUUCUGGAAAAAGGUUUCAACAUCAAUCACCAUCCAUGCUUUGUUGGAGAAUGUUAUGACUUUUGGAAAACUAGGAUGAGAAUCUUUAUAGAAUCUCAAGACCUGAAUAUUUGGAACGCAAUUGAGGAAGGGCCUUAUGAACCAUUCACCCUUGUUAAUGGUGAAAUGGAAAGAACAUCCUCAGUUCAACACUUGGUAUUGACGAGUACUUCAGAGUGUCAAGUUGGAAAUCUGCUAAAGAAAUGUGGGACACUCUAGAGACCACACAUGAAGGAACUGAAGAAGUAAAAAGGUCGAGACUCAAUAAUCUCUCCCAGGAAUAUGAAAUGUUUUGUAUUAAGCUAAGAGAGAAAAUUCUAGAUCUCCAAAAGAGAUUUACUCACCUUACAAAUCAUUUGAUUGCACUUCGAAAAGUAUUGUCAAACCAAGGUGUCAAUAUAAUGGCAAAGAUGUCAUUGGUUGCACUCUUUGGAAAGUUGCAAGAGCAUGAGUUGGAAUUGAUCCACCUUGAACAGCAUGAAGAGUAAGAGAAGAAGAGAAGGAAUAUUUAUGUCAAAGCUAAUGCAGAAGCAUAUGAAUCCUCAGCAAAUGAGUCGGAAAAGGAGGAAAUAGAAGACAUAAUCAUGUUGGUGAAGAAGUUCAGUAAAUUCCUAAAAAGGAAUAAAAGUGGUAAGCCUGAACAACUAAGGAGAUUCACCAAAAGAAAUGAAGUUUCCACUUCAAAUCAAAGCUUCAACUAUUUUGAAUAUGGAAAACCUAGUCAUAUGAAGAUGAGUUGUCCUACAUUGAAGAAAAAUCCUUUCAAGGAAAAAUUUGAGAAGAAGACCAGUAGACGAGCUUAAAUUGCAUGGGAGGAUAAUGACUCUAGUUCCACUUCAGAAACAAAAAAUGAAAAGUAGGCUCAUCUCUUUCUAAUGGUGUCUCAUUUAUCUUAUGAGGAGGAGGAGUAUUUGGGAGCCGCCAGCGACAUAUGGUAUUUGUAUAGCGGUUACUCAGAACAUAUGACAGACGAUAAGGAAAAUUUAUAUGUCCUCACUCCAAGGGACAAAGGCUACGUUGUGUAUGGUGAUAAUAACAAAGAAAAUAUCAUUGGAGUUGGUAGAGUCGGGAAGCCACCUUCUACUAUAAUAGAAGAAUUUAUAUAUGUUGAGGGACUCAAGCACAACCUACUGAGUAUAAGUCAACUUUGUGACAAAGGGUUGUGUAUGGCUUUCUACCUCAACAAAUGCAUCAUUGAUAGUAAGGUAUCUGAAAAUUCUAAAGUUGUUGGUAAGAGAAUAAAUAAUAUCUACAUUGUUGCUUUAAAUAAUUUUUCUCUUCCCAUAAAAUGUUUAGCUAUUAAUGAUCAUGAUGUAUGGCUAUGGAAUAGGAGAAUUGUUCAUAUUCAUAUGGAUCAUUUGAAUAAACUAGUAAAGAAAGAUCUGGUUGUUGAUUUACCUAAAAUGAAGUUUGUGAAAGACAAACUAUGUAGUGUUUGUCAAAAGGAUAAACAAACAAAGACUUCUUUCAAACCAAAACAUAUGGUUUCUUCUGAUAGACCAUUGUAGUUACUACAUAUGGACUUAUUCGACCAUUGCUGGACCAAAGGUUUUGGUGGUAACUACAAUGAUCUUAUGAUAGUAGAUGAUUUUCAAGAUAUACUUGGACUCUAUUCUUAGUACACAAGAAUGGGGCAUUUAAUACCUUUAGCAAAUAUGCUAAAAGAGUACAAAAUGAAAAAUCUUGAAAAUAACUGCUAUACGAAGUAAUCGUGGGUGAGAAUUCCAAAUUACUUAUUUUGAGGAAUUUUGUGAUGAUAAUGGUAUCACUCACAAUUUCUCAACUCCUAGAACACCACAACAAAAUGGUGUUAUAUAGAGAAAGAAUAGAUCGUUGGAGGAACUGACACGUACAUUGUUGAAUGAAACUAAUCUACCAAACUAUUUUUGGGCAGAUGCAGUUAGUAGGGCAUGCUACGUUUCCAACUGAGUCCUAAUAAGACCUAUUCUAAAGAAAUCCUCCUAUAAACUCUUUAAAGGUAUAAAACCAAGUAUUUCUCACUUGCAUGUGUUCGGUUGCAAAUGAUAUGUGCUAAAUAAUGGAAAGGAAAACUUAAAAAAGUUUGAUGUAAAAUUCGAUGAAGGAAUUUUCCUUGGCUAGUCUCUUACAAGCAAAGCUUUUUGAGUUUUCAAUAAGAGAACUGUGGCCAUGGAAGAAUCUCUUCAUGUGAACUUUGAUGAGACUAAUCCAACCUUGGAAGAAAAAUCCAUUGUGGAUGAUGAUGGCUUUUCUAGUUAAUCCUUGGAAGAAUCCAUUAUUGAUGUAAUAGCCAAUACAGAGCAUCUGAAAAUAGAUGACAAUAUACCUUCACGAGAAGAGCAUAUUCACUCUAUUUUACCUAAAGAAUGGAGAAUCCAUCGAUAUCAUCAUAUUGACAACAUCAUUUGUGAUAUAAGUAAGAGAGUCUACUCCCCUGAAAUUGAGUGAUGCAUGUCUAAACAUGACUUUUGUUUCUCAAGUGGAACCAUCCAAAAUUGAUGAUGCAGUCGAGGAUGAACACUGUAUUGUUGCUAUUCAAGAAGAGCUUAACCGGUUUGAGAGAAACGAAGUUUGGGAACUUGUUCCCGACCUAAAGAAAGACAUGUUAUAGGAACUCGUUUGGUCUUCCAGAAUAAAUCAGAUGAAAAUGGCAUUAUUAUAAGAAAUAAAGCAAAACUUAUGGCACAAGGAUACAACAAGGAAGAAGGUAUCAACUUUGAUGAAACCUUCGCUCAUGUUGCUAGACUUGAAGCUAUUAGGCUAUUGCUUGCAUAUGCAUGUUCUAUGGAUUUUCAAUUAUAUGAAAUGGAUGUAAAGAGUGUGUUUCUGAAUAGUUAUAUACAAGAAAAAGUGUAUCUCGAACAACCCCCUGGGAUUGAAGACUACGAGCAUCCCUCUCAUGUCUAUAAGCUUAAGAAAGCCAUCUAUGGCAUAAAGCAAGCUCCACGUGUAUUCUACGAUCGUCUAACAAACUUUUUAACUGGUAAAGUUUUUACUAAAGGAAAGAUCGACACUACAUUAUUCAUUAAAACAAUAAAUCAUCAUACUUUACUUGUUCCAAUUUAUGUCGAUGAUAUUAUUUUCGGUUCUAUUAAUGAUCUUUUGUAUAGUGAAUUUGGUAAGAUGAUGCAAGGGGAUUUUGAGAUGUCCAUGAUAGGAAAAUUGAAGUACCUUCAUGGACUACAUAUCAAACAACUCAAGGAUGACAUUUUUGUUUGUUAAUAUAUAUAAUGCAGGGAUCUACUGAAACGUUUCGAAAUGGAUGACUGCAAACCUAUCGCCACUCCUAUGGGUUUUGGAACAUACAUUGAUGCUGAUGAGAUUAGAAAAUAUGUUGCCAUCUCUAAGUAUCGAGGUAUGAUUGGUUCCCAUCUUUACCUUAUUCCAAAUAGACCUGAUUUUAUGUUUAGUGUCUGUCUUUGUGCACGUUAUCAAACAAAGCCGAAAGAGUCAAAUCUUGGUCCCGUGAAAAGGAUAUUGAAAUAUCUUAAAGGCACACUUGAUGUAGGACUAUGGUAUCCUAAAAGAAGUAUAUGUAAUCUGGUAGGAUAUUCGGAUUCAAAUUUCGCUACAUGCAAAUACUAGAGAAAAAGUACAAGUAGUACUUGCCAUAUUCUUGGAAAUGCCCUAGUCUUUUAGUCUUGUAAAAAGCAAACAUGUGUUGCUCUAAGUACUGGUGAGGAAAAAUACAUAGAUGCAUGAAGUUUUUGUGUCUAAAUAUUGUGGCUCAAGCAACAAUUGCGAGAUUAUAGAAUAGACCUAGGAUGCAUUCCCCUAAGAUAUGAUAAUACUAGUGCUAUAAAUCUCACAAAGAAUCUGAUUAUGCACUCUCAAACUAAACAUAUUGAUAUAAGACACCACUUUCUUAGGGACCAUGUCCAAAAGAAAGAUGUUCCUUAGAAUUCGUUGAUACACAUGAAUAACUAGCAUAUAUCUUUACAAAACUUUUGGCUAAAGAAUCUUUUUAUAAACUUAGAUGAGAACUAAGGCAUCAUUGUUGAAGUAUAUCUAUCUUUUUUAUUAUUUUGGGGUAUGUAUUCUGUUACCAUGGAAGGGUAAUCGAUUACAAGGCAUCAAUGACAAAAAUUGUUCAAAAUUCAGCAAAUGUAAUCGAUUACAUAAUGCAUUAAUCAAUUAACUUCCCAAACAGAAAAGUUGAGUAAUUGAUUACCCGUUCGUGGUAAUUGGUUACACUAUGCACUAUUUAAGGCAAAAAUCAGAUUUUUAAACUUCAUCUUCUUCAUUUUCCCUCCUUCCAACCAUGGUAACCCCCCAUAACUUCAAAAAAAUUCCUUUUUAAACCGUUUUUCUUGAUUUUUAUGGUGUUUCAUACUACAUUUUCACUCCUAAACACAUUUCUACCAUCAUUUUUGUGAUUAGAGUUCUAAAUCAAAACCCCCCAAAUAUCAAAAUCUUCAAAACUCAACAACAUGGCCUCAUCCUCUAGAUCCAAAAACAAACAAACAAAUGUGACUGAAGGAAGACAACAAAACCUGAAUGAAUUCAACAUAUUGGAUUUGAUAUGUCAUUUGGAAAACGAGGAUCAACAUAAAACCUUCAAGGAGCACUUCUUAUAACGACCAAUUUUCAUCCGAAGUAUGGUAUGUUAAGUUCCUUUGAGGAUAAUAAUUUUAUUUUCCCAACCCUUUUUGAACAACAAAAACUCUCUGAAUUUUGUGAAAUGCACUAUUCUUCCUAUCUGGAACUUGUACAUGUAUUUUAGUGCAAUAUGAGUUUUAAGAAGAAUAAAAUCUUCUCUUAUGUCAAAGGAAAAGAAAUUGGCAUAGACUUCAAAACUUUGAGUUCACUUUGCGGUAAUAUACCAUAUAUAGGAACAAUAAUGGAUUUUGACAUUCAAUGAAACUUAGAAGGGUUCAAAAAAAUGGAUUUCUACUACUCAUUAUGUAGAUACUCCAAACGGGAAAUUGAAAUGUGUAAGCAAAGAUCUUUCGGUGACUCUGCGUGAAACUGAAAUAUUUUAUCUGUCGGUAACUUAAAUUUAGAGAACCUUUUGAUUCAUUACAUGUUAAGCUAUAUUGUAGUUCCAAAACUUUCAAACUAUUCACAAGUAAAUGAUAUGAAAAUGCAAUUGAUGUAUGCUAUGAAACACAAUGUUCCAAUUAAUUGGAAAUUAAUGAUAACGAGACAAAUCUACACCUUUAGAAGUGAGUACGGACCAUUGCCAUAUGCCAUUCUCAUAAUUAUUAUACUUGGAUAUUUUGGUUUUUCGUUUAGUGGAGAAUCUAAAAUCACACUCGAUGCUCACGAUAAGAUUGAUGUGGAUAUAAUCCACAAAAUGAGUUUCUUUCGAGAUACCAAUGACAUGAUCUACAAGCAUCAUAGUGAUCAAGAGACUGCAAAUCUAGAAAAUCCUUCUGGUGACCCUCCUACUUAUCCCUUAUUUCGUGUUGAAUCAUCUUCUUCUGACUCCACUCCUACCAAUCAAAUGAUAAUGGAUAAGUUGUUCUCACUUAAGGACUACAUCACUACACAUGGAUGCUCUUGAUACAACGAAUCAAGUCCAAGAAAAGCUUAAACGCUUAUCAAAUCCGUUGGACUAUAUGGACUUGGACUCUCAAAAAGCUGGUCCAAAUCAUCAGGAGUAGUAGUGUAGCAAUCUUGGAUUUUACUUAAGUAUUAUGAUGUCGUUGUCGUUGUUAUUUCAAAACUGAUGUUUCUAUUGUUGUUUUUAUUUAUGCAUUCAGAUAUAACUUCCAAACAUCUUGCUAUUUGCUAUCUAACUAUUUGUGAUAUAUGAAUUAUGUUUCUUAUACUAUUAUUUCAAUAUUAUGCUAUGACAUGAUAUAUCAUUCUCUAGCAUUUGAUAUUAUUCAAAAUUUACAUUUUGAAAAAUUAUGCCCUUGACUUGUAAAUAAGUCAACAUAUCUUGUUACCCUUUAUAUAUAUAUGUAUAUUGUGAUGGACAAAAUUAGUUUUUCUUCGUUUUGAGGAAGUCAAAAGGGGGAGAAAAGUUGGAGUUGUUUUUUUUAUGUAACAAAAUUUCAGGCACAUUCAAUAAAACAAAGGGAGGAUAUACAAGAUAAGGGGAGCAUUUCGAACAUACAACAAAGUUAUAUCAUCUACAUAUGAUGAACCUCAGAAAAAUUCAUAUCUCCAUUUUCAAAAGAUAUUGGUUUGUCAUCAUCAAAAAGGGGGAGAUUAUAAAGAAGGUCUUUCUCCUGACCAUGACACAAUUUGAUGAGGACACCAAGAUAUCACAAAAAGAAGAAGGAAGAAGACCAUGAAUAUAUAGAAGAUUCAAGCUUCAAGAUGUCUAUAGAUUAAAGUCUUCAUAUAUGUAUUUCUAUCCUUACAUUCACUUUAAUAUUUACUAGCAAUGCUCAAACAGAUCAAAAUCAUUUUUAAAAGAAUUGACAUGUCUAAAAUGCAAAGUCAAAAUUGCUAAGUAAUGAGUUACUUGAACUGAGUAACAGGUUACCAGAACUAGGUAACAUGUUACAUGAACUGUGAGGUAGUUGGUAACAGGUUACUGGAACUGUGUAAUAGGUUGCCUAACUGAGAAAACAGUUACAAAGCAAACCCGGCUAAUGUAACCAAUUAAUUCAAUUUAUUAAUCGAUUACCACCUUGGACAGAACAUUUGGAUAAUCGAUUACCACUUCAUGACAAUCGAUAACACAGAGCUGUUGAAACCAAAUUUUCAAAUUCAAAUGAACAAAUUUCAUCCAAAGUGAAUAGGUUUCAUUCCAAUCGUGUCUCCUCUUCAUGGAAGGAUAUCUUGGCUGAUUGGAAGUUUAUUUAAAGGCAUUGAGACAUCCAAAUUAAAAACACACAAAAACACAAGUUUGACACAAUCAUACAAAAACAUUCACAACUUAGUAAACAAAAUUAUGCACAUUUUGUUGGCAACUUUGUUCCUAAACUUUCAGAUUUUCUGAAGUUGCUUCCAAAGUCCAUUUGUUCUAAACUUUACAAAGAUUAGGAGCAUUGUAUACUAAGUAUUUAUAUUACUAAGUACUUAUAUUGUGAGAUUAAGGAUUGCAAGUUGUAGAAUUGUCAAAACUUGUAAAGACAAUCAUGUUAUUGUUAUAUUCUUCAUCUUGGUUGUAAACUUUUCAUCACAAGGAUUUGUUGAUAAGGGGAAAAGAGUUCACUUGAAAGAAAUUUUCAAGGGUAGAUAAGGUGUGAGUGUGUCAGGUACAAAAGUAUCGGGGAGAGAAAUUGUAAAUACAACUCAAAUUAUCUAGUAGAAAAAUUUCUUGUGUGACAAGAGUACUGGAUGUAACUUCGAUGGUCAAGAAGGCAAACUGGUAUAAAAACUCUCUAUGUACUCUUCUUUUACUUAUUCAUCCCAUUUAAUUUUUCUUUACUUGGUUGAAAUUUUCAUAAAUAAAUCUGUUGUACAUAAACUUUGCUAUUAACUUUGAUCAUAAAUAAGUAUAGCUUUGUAUAAUAUAAAAUUGUUUUCAGAUUUCUCUUUGUAUGUGUGAUCCAGUCUUAUUGGCUUCAAAUAUGUUUGAGUAUAAUGUUUUUGUUCUUAAGAAUACUAAGUUUAUCUUACAAACAAAUACAAUAUUUAUAUGAAGAAUAAACAUUGAGAAGACAAAAAUACACAUUACCAAUUAUUUGAAAUAAAUUAUUGUAAUUAGAUGGGUGAAGAAGAUUCAUACAAAGCAUUAAAGUCUUGGGCAUGGAGGUCAUUGCACAUAUUUGUCUUUUAAUGCAAUUUUCAUUGGACAUACUUAUCAUUGGAUGCAUGUGUUACUGGAUGCAAUUGUCACUUAAGAUUAAAUAGGUCUAAAGAAAUCAAAUAGUCAAUCACCGAUGGAAGAGACAGAGAAUAAGGUUCAAGAGGUCGCCUUGCCUAUGACACUCUCCCAAAUGGAUCACAUCGCGAAGAAGGUCGAUAAGGGUUUGACCAUAAUGGACAUCACAAUUGUGAGGGCACAAUAGCCGAACUAAAGAGGAUUAGCGACAGACAACAAGCCCGAGAGGCACUAUCGAUGCCAUCUGUAGAAGAUUCACAUAAGGAAAAUCUUCUAAGUCCACCAUAAAACCGAAACAUUCAUCCACGAAAGAGUUGUCCAUAACCUUUGACGACCAAGACUAUGGCAAUAUCAUUUGGGGUCACAACAACUCCUUGAUUGCCAAUGGAAAUUUAAUAAUAGAAUAAUAAAAAGGCUUCUCACUUAUGCGGGAAGUUAGAUAAACGUCAUGGUUCAAGACUUUCAAAGCUCUUGUUAUUAGAGCUUACACCAUAUGGAGGUCAACUUAAAAGCUUUGCAAGGUAAAACUCCUAAAAGUAUAAAUAAACGUAUGCCUAACCUUUGGAAAAGGCACCCUGUCCAAGAUGACCAAAACCAGAUUCUUGGCAUUAGAUGCAAAUCAGCUUCUAGCGCAAUCAUUGGCAGGACAACAUUGAUUGCCUUGGAAGCUCGACUCAACAACCCAUCACAAAAUGAAAUUCAUUGCCAUUGUGCACGGUAAAAAAGACCAACAAACGACCAUAAAAUAUUAUGUCAAAAGUCUCAACAUUGCCAAGAGCUCUUCUCAUCGGCCAACAAUACAAGAAAGGAGAUUAAUUUCGUCAUAUUGGAACAAAUACUCUAGUAAGAAUCAUUGGUCAAGGUAUGUACAAAUAUUUUGUAUCCUUUUUGUCAUUAGAAUGUGAAUUGUAGGUUUAGCGCCAAAAAAGGAUUAAGGAAAAUAAACCUUCCUCAAAACUAGCUAUAUAGAAAGCAAGUCGAGCAUAAAGGAUGCCAAAGCCAAAAAUCAGACAAUAAAAUGAAGAUUAAAUAAUAAAAAACUUUCCCCAAACUAGGAAUAAAAUUAUAAGAUUAAUUCUGAAACACUAACAAAUGGAGAUUAUUAUUGGGUGUUGUUGGAACAUGGUUUAUUGAAAACUAUAAGUGAUAACUUUUGGGUGUGAAAUCUAAAAACACUCCUAAGUCCCACAUAGAAGAGUUUUGAAAGAAAAAAACAACUCUCAAGUCCCACAUUGGAGAUAUGAAGAACUUGGAAAAAAUUUCAUGUUAUAAAUAGAUGCAUUCUCCCCUCAUUAUAACUCGCCCCAAGUUGAAUGCGUUUUCAUUCAACUUUUUCUUUCUCCCUCAUAUUUUCUGCCGAUGCAUUUCAGAAAAUUUCUCCCUCUUUCUUUCCGUGGCACUAAGAAAUGGCACAUGCAGUCAUCUUGUGGGAAAUUCGAGAACUGACACUAGUAGUUAGUAUUGAGGGAAAAGAAUUGACACAGGUAGACAUAUUAUGGGCAUUUUGAGAACUGACACUAGUAGUCAGUAUUGUGGGAAGAGAAUUGGCACAAGUAACCAUAUUGUGGAUAUUUCGAGAAUUGGCACUAGUAGCCAUAUUGUGGUGGGUGUAUUCGAGAUCGGUUCUUACAGUAUAGUAAGAACUCGAUAACAGAGAUCUAGGCUGUUUUAUCCUGGGGACGGCAUGGUUGAUAGUCUACUUGCACAUUUUGGGCAGUUCUACGAAACGUCUUAAAGAGAGCGUCCUGGUCGUGACUCAUCCAGUAAGUAUUAUUUCGUGCCAUCUAUAAUUGUUGCAAGCUAUGGUAACAACAAUUUUAAGAUGUUUCUACUGCAAUGGCAUUCGUAGAUAAUAUUACUGGACCGAACAACUAUGACCUGAACAAACCAUUUCGGUUUGAUGAGACAAAUUUCAAACGUUAGCAAUAUAAGAUGAAAUUUUUCCUCACAAUGAGAAAAGUUGCACAUAUUUUGAAAAUCAAUGUCCUAAUGGUGCUGGAGAAAGCUGGAAAAAAGAAGAAUGAUAAAUUGUUAAUAUAGCUCUAUAGAAUGAAAAUGACUACAUAUGUAAUAAUUUCAUUCUGAAUAAGUUGUGAGAUGAUCUAUAUGAUUACUAUAGCUCAUAUAAGUCUUCCAAAUUAAUUUGGUUUGCACUUGAGAAAUAAAGAAAUAUGAUACUGAGGAAGUUAAGAUAUAUAUAUAUAUAUAUAUAUAUAUAUAUAUAUACAUAUGAUGUUAUCACUACCUCAAGUAUCAAAUGACUGAUAAUAAAUUAGUAGAGUCUCAGUCCUAUGAGAUACAUAAAAUUGCUCAUGAAAUCAUUUCUAAUGGUAUGACCCUAGAGAGUUAAACUCACAGCCUAUGAAUGUGCAUUCAUUGGGUAUGCUAUAAACAGCAAGGCGUACAGGUUUUACGACCUUAACACAAAAGUGAUCAUUGAGUCUAACGAUGUUGACUUCAAUGAAGAGAAAUUCCUUUUUAAGUUGAGGAAUAGUGGGGGUGCAUCAACUAGUCACAUACUUGUGAUUAGAGAUAAUGAUAUAAAAUAAAAGGUUGAAAUAGAACCUAGAAGAAGUAAGAUAGCAAUAAUUAUUAGAGAGUAUAGACCUGAUUGUAUGGUCUAUAUAUUGGAGGAUAAUCCAUCAACUUUCCAAUAAGUUUUUACUUCUUUAAAUGUUGAUUUGUGGCGAUAAGUCAUAAAUGAUGAGAUGAACUAUCUAGAUUCUAACAAGAAAAAGACUAUGUUAGUUCAAUCCACUAUGAGAGUUGAGAUGAUAGCAUUAGCAACAGCCAAUGAAGAAGCAAGUUAGCUGAGAAGUUUGCUUGCAGAGAUUUCCCUACGGAAAAAAUUGAUAGCAGUUGUGUUGAUCCGUUGUGAUAGUAUCGCGACUAUUGCAAAAAUUGAGAAACACUUUUAUAACUGUAAGAAACAACAAUUUUGUCGUAAGCACAACACCAUUAGAAAGUUACUCUCUAUAGGAGCUGUUAAAGUGGAUCAUGUACGCAUUGAGAAUAACUUAGCAGAUCCUUUGAUGAAAGGACUAGCUAGAGAGAAAGUCUAUAAUGCUUCUAAGAGUAUGUGAUUAUUACCCUUAGAACGAGGAUCACUCAUGAUGGUAACCCGACCUAACUGACUGGAGAUCACAAGAAAUAGGUCAAUGAGUAAUAACAAGUUGUGAAGUGAUAUGAGAAUGAACAUGCUAUAAAAUUAUGAGAAGCAUGAUUCCUGUAGCAUAUGUAAGGAUGAGUUAAACUCUUAAUGAUAUUUAUACUCCAAUUGGAGUGGAGUACCUAGGCUAUAGGAGUACUCUUGAUAGACUCACCUAUGUGAAUGUGGAAGUGGGGGCCGCUUCCUAUGAUAUUUUGGGGCAUAAAUUUCUAGAGCGUUCACUAUACUGGAUAGACAUGCAUGACCUCUAACGCUUGGGCUUUACAGAAUACACCUUUGAAAAGGUUGUGUGUUGUUUGAUGUCGAAGAUAGAGUUCAAGACUACGAGUCACUCUAGUAAAAUCUGGAUCUUAUUCACUAUGCAAAAGUUCUAGUCGUGUGGCACCUUUGUUUAAGCACAAUCUUAUUGAAACCACAAAUAUUCUCGGAAAUCGUUUUUUAAUUUCAAGUGGGGGAUUGUUGGAACAUGGUUUAUUGAAAACAUAAGUGAUAACUUUUGGGUGUGAAAUCUAAAAAAACUCCUAAGUCCCACACAGAAGAGUUUUGAAAAAAAAACAACUCCCAAGUUCCACGUUGGAGAGAUGAAGAACUUGGAAAAAAUUUCAUGUUAUAAAUAUAGGUCUUCUCCCCUCAUUAUAACUCGCCCCAAGUUGAAUGCGUUUUUAUUCAACCUUUUCUUUCUCCCUCAUAUUUUCUGCGGAUGCAUUUCCGGCAAACUUCUCCCCAUUUCUUUCCGUGGCACUAAGAAAUGGCACAUACAACAAUAUUGUGGGAAUUUCGAAAACUGACACUGGUAGUCAGUAUUGAGGGAAAAGAAUUGGCACAGAUAAUCAUAUUGUGGGCAUUUCGAGAACUGACACUGGUAGUCAGUAUUGUGGGAAGGCAAUUGUCACGAGUAGCCAUAUUGUGGAUAUUUCGAGAAUUGGCAUCGAUAGCCAUAUUGUGGUGGGUGUAUUUGAGAUCGGUUCUUACAGUGCAGUAAGAACUUGAUAACAUAGAUCUGGGUUGUUUUAUCAUGGGGACGGCAUAGUUGAUAGUCUGUUAGCACAUUUUGGAUACUGCUAUGAAACGUCUUAAAAAGAGCGACCUGAUCAUGACUCAGCCAAUAAAUAUUAUUUCGUGUCAUUUAUAAUUGUUGCAAGCUACAGUGAUAACAAAUGUGGAAGCAAGUAUUGAUAUUUAUAUAGCAAGUUUUCCUUCAGCCUUUUAAAGCUUAACGAUCUUCUCCAAAAGAUCUUCCGAUCCUUGAGAUUGUAUUUGUUUCGAGAUAGCAUUUAAUGCAAUGAUUUGCUUUUGGGUUUGCCUCGAUAUGUUAUCAGAUCUUGUUGCUUCAGUGGUAGAAUAUGUCAUCAAAAGAAAUUAUAAGCAUUUAAUGUUCUGUAAAUUGUCAUCAUUUGUUUCCUUUUCUAGUAAACAACAAAACUACGUUUUAUUGCAGGAUAGUCGUUAGAAUUGCAAAGUUUAUCUUUCCAUAAACAUUACAUUUAAUGAUAAACAUUUGUUAACAAAUAUUCGUUCAUUUACAAAUCAGUCAAUUCAUAAUAAGAACAUUUAAUAAGAUUCACAUUGUAAAAAGUACAAGUUGUGGACAAGGUGUAGAAGAGGUUGAUAACUUAAAAUUUUGGACAAGUUUAAUUCAAGACAACGCUUUGGAGGACUUUGUGUUGGACAAACAAAUAUGAGCUCAUAAAUGACUUUGCGUUGGAAGCAUAAGUCUAACUUAUUGAUGCACCUUUUCCUCUAAACACAUUAUCCUUAUGGACUAGCUUUUGGACAGAAAUACCGAUUGGAAGGCUUAAAGCUUUGGAUGCAUCAUCCAAUGUAUAUUUUGAGCAUGUGCCCAUUUUUCAUUGCAACUUAGUAUUAUCCAUUGAUCUUAAUGGUGUGAUCAUAAACAAGGUUAACACAGAUUCAUAUGAUUAGAACAUAUUGUCUUAGAGAACUAAUCGUAUCAUAGGAAAAUCAUGUAACCAUAGGCUUAGGAGUGAAUUAUAUCAUAACUCACAUAUACUAUACAAAAUCACAAAUAGCUAUUGUUCAUCACCGGGUGACUCAACUUACCAGAGAGAGCAAUGUGACAAUUGUGUUGAGUUAGAUAAAGUGACUCAGCACUCCACUGGACGCCACAUAGUGCUUGUGUUAAUUUAAUUAUUUAUUUAAAAAAAAUUAUUGGAUCCUCUUCAGUAAUGGAGAGGGCAGUAUAUAAGAUUGUGACAUAUGACAAGAAAAAUAAUGAAUGGUUAUGAUUGUACAAUGCAAUUAAUUAAAUGUCAAUUAAAAAAUGUUAAAGAUCCCUAAAUCUCUUCUCAUCCUGCAACUCAUCUCUCUACCCUCUCUUCCUACUUUCUUCUUCCUGGUAAAGAGAUGAUUCAGACAUAAUUUUUAAGAUGGUCUCAAUCUCUCAGAAAGUACAAGCAUCGGUUAGGUUAUAGGCUUAUAAGAUUCAUAUAUAAACCAACUAAAAUCAGUAAAGUAAAACCCAGUUCAAAUUUGAAACUAAUAAACCAUAAUCAAUCAUAACCAUAGAUGGAGGUGAAGAAUAUAAAAUAAUCAAGGGAACUCAGUUAUCAAGUAAAGGUCCCCUCAUAGAAUCAUAUAAAAUGGUGAAAAAGAGAUUAAACGAGUAAGAAGAAGCUUUGUGAUUUGAUUUUCUGGAUGAAGAAAUUUUUAAUCUUUCAAAAGAAAGAUGUUUCUUCAGUAACAUUAGAGAUGAGUUGUAGGAUGGAAGGGGUUUAGGGAUUUUGAUUUUUUUUAAUUGAAAUUUAAUUAUUUUCAUUGUACAAUCACAACCAUUAAUUUUUUCUCCCACCACAUGUCAUGAUCUUACUUGCCUCUCCAUUACUGGAGAAGAUCCAGACUCAACUCACCAUAGCACAUCAUGUGGCACUUAGGUCAAGUGUUUUUCAAAAAAUACUAGACAACCAUAAUCUACCACAUGGCAGCUUGAUUUAGCCAAACGGAAUGGCAUAUGGAAAAAAUAAUUUCCACAUGGCAAAAACUUAGUCACGUGGUAUAAAUUUUUUGUAUACAACAUAUAGGUAAUGAAUAGGGAUUUUUUCUAGUAUUGGAUAGACAAGUACUUUAAACUUUAAAAAUGUUAUUUCAUUCUAAUUAAAAGAAUAAUUGUGUCCUAACAUAUAAAUUUUCUUUUAUAGUUAAGAGGAUCCUUACUCAGUGUGAAUUGAUAGGUCAAAUCACAAUUGCAGGAUUAUAUCGUCAAGUAAUAAAAUAUCGAUCCCAUAAGGAUUAGAAAACUCCUUUAAUUAUAGCAAUUAAUUUAUCAUUAACUCAAAUAUGAAUUAAAAGGGAAUUUAGAACAAUUGAACAAAUUGACAAGAAUAAUUAUGAAAAUAGUAAAAAGGGAUUGAAAUUUAAUUUAGGAAGAGUUCCCAGGAUAAUGGUUACCGUCUUUACACUCGCAAAUCCUUGCUCCUUUUCAUUAACUUUAAGUUGUGAGGGUGAAUUGCUCUUUGAUAUGAGUCAUCCUCUCUCGAGCUCUGACACGUGUACUCAAUUGAAGUCGCACAUACUCUCGUGGUAUGAUUAUCAAUCAAAUCAUUUACUUGGAUCUUUCUAUCCAAUCGCUUUGUAGCAACCCAAGGUGAAUUCCAUAAACCCCAAGAAUCCUAAUAUUGCUCUCAUAAAUUAGGAUUCUAGUUUGAAUAACUGAGUGAUCAGAAAGUUGGGUUCACCUCUCGGUCCUUCCCCAAUGUAUCUAAGAGGUGUAAUUUGUUGGUCAGACAACUCACACGAAUAAAACUCAGUUUAACGAUUCAAAUCACAACACUCAAUGAAAUAGAAGUAAGAACAAAUAUUUAUUAAAUGUAAAAGGGCAUAGCCCCAGUCCUAGAAACAAAGGGAAUUACUGACUCAUGAUGGAGAAGAGAAUACCAAAUUCUAAGUUAGAGAAUUGUAAUGUAAAGUGUAAAAGUGUAUCAUCCUUGAGGGAGAAUCAUCAUUUAUCCUAGUUACAAAAUAUUGGACUAAGCAUAACAAAACAAAUCUAAAAAUAAGAAUAUAAUAUAACAUAUAUGACUUCUUCUGGCCCUUCAAUUGGUCUUCGCAUAGCCUCAACAUUGAAUUUCAUCUUCAUGCACUCAAUCUUUACUCUUUUUGGCUUUAAUUCAUCCAAACUGAACAACAUAACUAAAAACACCCACUCAACCCGGGCAAAGAGAAAUAAAAGCUAAAAACAAUCCUAAAGUCCUAAUUAUGUCCUAAAAUGCAAUACAAAUGUGGCAUAAUUUCACACUCAUCAUAAAUAUAAAAUUUCAAACCAAACCUAUCGUCGUAUAUAGUUUGAAAAAACUAACGUACUUAGUUUUUCUACACCUUAGUUUAUACAUUCAUCCCUCGGCUUUGAAGUGUUCAAAAAACUUUUUAGUCUUAACCCGAUUUUGACAAACACAAGCAUUUUCUUUCAUCUCCACAAGAAUACCUUAUUAAUUAAGUGUUAGCAAGAAGGUAAGAAAUAUACAGUUCAUAGUUGCAUAGCACAUAUAUCAACCCUUGCAUGGUAAAAGAAAAAUGAUAUAUCUUCCUAUAUUAUAAGAAAAGUUGCACGUGUCAUAAAAUAAUAUUUUGUUUAAUGAUUGGUUUACUAAUGACAUAUGUUAGUUUUCUUGGUCUCAUAAUUUGGAGGAGAAAUUCGGAUGAGGAUUUUGGUGAACUCCAAGAAAGUUUUCAAUGUUCUCCCAUUCUUUUCUAAUAUUUGAUCAAGAAAGAUCAAAUGGUUUCACGAUCAAUCUCUCCUCUGGUCGUAUGCUUCUCUUUUAGCUUCUCAUGAAUGAAACAAUCAUUUUAUUUUUGUUGUCACUCAUUUGAAUAAAUUCUUUUGUCAUCUUCUCUUUUAUUAAUUAUAUGUGUGCUUUAUUUGAUUGCUUGUGACUAAUAUUGCACAACGAUUAGUUUUACUGCACCAAUAUAUUUUGCUUUCAUUGCAAAGGUGGGGUUGAGAAAUCAAGAAGAACGAGUGAGAUAUUUGAAGGAUACUCAUGGUUCCCAAACAACAACUCUCAACUCCUUGAUCUUAAAACAUUUUAUGAAGUUUUUCCAAAUGUGCAGCACAUAAUUUAUGUUAUGCGCAUGCGGCAUAACCUCAGCAAUGGCAGACUCUAAUCCUUUCUACUGAUCUGGAACAAAGUCCCAUAUGUACUUGUCUUGUGAACUCAGAGCAUGUUCAAGAAGUGCUAAAAAUCAUUACCAAUUGUCUUUGAUCUUCAAAUCGACCGUAUCACAAGCAACCAUAUAAAAUUGAUUGUUAGUAUCAUGUCCAACAGUAGACAAGAGUUGUCCUCCAUAGUACUCUUUCAAAAACAACAUAUAGUCUAAUCAUUGGUUUUCACCCAUUCUUUAAUCCUUAUUUACAAGCAUUCAGACAUAUAAACAAUCUUUUAAACAAAAGGGGUGAAUCAGUAAUAGGGAUCACUUCCAUUGUAGCACUUGAUCCAUUGUUUGUCAUGUGUACUUUUUUAAGGUAAUCCACAAUUGACCAUAUUAUUUCUUCUCAAACUCUUCAAUUUCCUCUCUAGCAAGCUUCAAUGUACUGCUAACCUUUUUAAGCUCCAACUGGAGCAUCAAAUCCUCAUUCAUCAAACUUAUAGCUUGAUUCCUUUUUAGAUCUGGUUGUGUCACCAAUCUUGAUUCUAGUUUUUUGGCAACUCAAUCUCUACUUUCUGACUUGUUCUAUAAUGUCCUACAACAUGUAUGUUCUUGGUUAAAUGAUUUCACUUGGUAAGUAUUGAACUUAAUAUCUCGUAAGUAAUAUGCUAGACAAGCACAAUAUGCAUUUCCACACUGCUCUUGCCCUCCUUAGAUCAUUCGUCUUCCACUUGAUUUCUCUGCCAAGAAACAUGUGAAAUUCAUUCAGUGCAUUCCUAAACAAUGUGAAUUUGAAAAACUCCAUUCCAAUCUCAAGAUGCUUAUGUCCAAAAGCAUUGUGUUCAUUGAAAAUUGUGUAUACAUUGAAUGUAUUUCCUUCAUCAUUGGUAAAAACAGUAGUAUGCAUAUAUUCAAUGUUUGAUGGAAAUCCAUGUUCCUCAAAAGAUUAUUCAUCAUCAUAUCCUUCAUCUAUGUAUUCUUCUUCCUUGGAGUUGUAGAUUUUUUACUUGGUUUUGUAGCCUUUUUCUAUUGGGUUCUAUCCUUUUUGUUUGUGGUUGGCUUCUUCUUCUUGGGGGUUCUUUUCUUGUUAAUGCUUCCUUCUUCAACAAGUUUUUCAUUUACAUUAAAGUUUCUUCUUUAGCUGUAAAAUCAGUUGCUUCAGCUGUAAACUAAGGUAAAUUUUGAGCUAUAUGUCCUUCACAUACAUGUUCCUCAUGUAUAUGUUCUUGACCUACAUGUUCUUAAGGUACAUCUUCUUCAGGCACACUAAUCAUUUCAGCAUUCCUAUCAUCUUCAACAUUGUUAUCAUCUUCAACAUUAAUAAUUAGAGGAACUUUGUAAAUGGAAUCCUCAACAGAUGACGGACCUCUGACAAAUUCAGUGUGUUAUGCCUCCAAUGCUAGAUGUUUAAAAUAAAUGUGCAUUUCAUAAUUCCCCAAUUUAUUGACUUUCUUAGACUCCAACAAUGCAGAAAUCAUGUCAUUGUUAUCCUUGUCCCCUUGUAUUAGCAUUAACCCGGUUUCCAAAUAAUAAUCUAUGGGGUUUAGCCAAUACAUAGCUUUGUAGUCAUGAUACCCACUCUCAAUGAACAAUGUUUUCAUAUCCUUGAACUUGACAAAGUUCAUAUCCAUGUGUGGCAAUCUUUCAAUCCUUUCAUACUUGUACUAGAAAUUGCCCUCACUAUCUCUUGUAAAAAAACCACAAUUGGGAUAAGUAAGAACAAUGUAUUCAUAUAUCUACAUGGAAUAAAUGAUAUUUAAUGUUAUGUGACAAAAAAUGGCAGACACUAAGACAAAAAGGUAACCGACCAAACAAAGAAGGACAAUAUUAAAACGAACCCAACACAGUAACUGACUAGACACUAAGACAGAAACGUUAAAAACAUUAAACAAUAAUUAUAAAUAUUUGGGACCACAAUAAGCUUUUGAAAAAAAAAUACAUGCAUAAACACUAAUUGCAAAACAAAAACAAACCCAUGCAAUCGAAAAAGACAAACAACAUAUAUUUCGAAACCACAUACCUUAAAGGAACAACAAUAGAAAUAUUGAUCUUCUUGUUUUGAGGGAUGGACACAAACUGGGACCAAAAGCAUGCCAGGAUGAACACAAACAAGAAUGAUCACAAGCCAGGUAGGAUGAACAAAGAUAAUAAGGGAUGAAUAUAUAUGGGUGGGCAGAAGCCAAAGAUGAAAAAAUAAUCGUUUUUCAUUUCCUAUUUUUAACUGGAAGAAGAAGUCCAAAAUAAUGUUGUUUUGAGUUUCUUUUAAAUUCAGCGCAAAAUGACGUUAUUUUGUUAGAGGAUUUUUUUUAAAACAAAUGUCUUUAUUUUCAUUAAAAACUUAUAUAAAAACAUUAAACCCAAAAUGACUUUGUUUUGGGUUUAAAUUUUUAAACAAAAAUUAAACCUGAAAUGAUGUCGUUUGGUAAAAGAAGUUUUGUUAAAAUAAAAAAAAUGUGUUGUUUUCAAUAAAGAAUUUGAAAAAAAAUAAAAAUACAUGUUGUCUAGUGACGUGUCAAACACACCAUCAUGGAUAGAAGACGUCUAACCAAGUCAAUAGUUAACGGCCCACGUAGGCCAAAUCGUUAACAUUAACUUACGAAUAUGAAUAGAAAGAUUAACGUGGUUCCUCGUUGAAAUAGUUGGGGACCAAAUUGGUAAUUUAAUUUAUCAAAGAGUAAUUUGGUAAUAUUAAAAAACAUGUGAGACCACUCUACCUAAACUCUAUUAAAAUUACGUCCAAUUUGCCUAAGUCAAUCCUACAUAUUUCUUACCCUUUACACGAUGAUCUAAAACGAUAAAAUAUAGAAAGUCUAACUCCUACAUUUGAAAUGGCAUGAUAAUAGAAAAAGAAGAGAGAUGUUGGAAAAGAAAGAGAGAACGAGAGGGAUGGAAAAAAGAGAAAGGGCAAAGAGGAAAAUUUGGGAAUGAAAUCUCCUACAUAGUAAAAUGAGAGGGAUAGAGAAAGAGAAAGAGAAAGGGAGUGAGAGAGAGAAAAAAAAGUUGUUUUACUGAACAGGUGGCUGCUACUGACUGCUACAAAACAAAGGUUCGGGUAGUUUUGGAAUCUAUGUCUAACUUACUCUCUUAUUAUAUAGAGAAUAAUUUGGUUAAUAAUCCUAAUUUGCAUGGACACCUUUUAUUUUUUUGUGAAAUAUAUCUGUAGUAAAUAAAUUAGAAAAUAUACAAAAAUAUGAGUGAGCGUCAUUUUGAUGGAAGAAAAGUCUCAAUAAUGGAGAAAAUAAGAGAUAAAAAAAUGAUAACAGAAUGGAAGCUUGUGUAAACAUAAUUUAUCUUGUUGCACGGAUAUUUGACUCAAAUGUUAGGUCCUAAAUUGCUAAUAGAAAAAAAUCUGCAUCUCUUUUAACUUGUCAAUUUUAAUUUCUCCCAAAAAGGAACUCUGUUACUCAGUAACUCAGUAGCCUAAAUUUUUUGAAAAGCUUUAAUAUUUUAAUUUUAAGUGUUAUGCAUGGUUAAACAUUGGGAGGUAUUAUAACAAGACAUAGAGAGUUCUAAACUAAUGAAUAUCACCUAUGUCUUUGGUAGUUGACCGGACCGAAUCAUUAGAUCUGGUGCUCAGUCAAGGUGGCCUUCUUCCAAGUCUGGAUGAUGCUGAGUCUAGGUCCCUCUGGGGUUAUAUUUAUGAUGAAAAAAUACACAAUUGUAUUGGUUUUAGGUAUAUAUCAGAUUCCAGGUAUGAGUAACUACUUAUAACAGUUUAUAGGCAACUGAAUUUUACCUAAAAUGAUUUACUAUUACUUUUAAGGUUUUGUUUGGGAGUUAGGAGGAAAAAGAAAUGAGAGAGAUAAGAGGGGAAGGAGGGGGAGGAAGGGAAUGAGAAGUAAAGGCAAAUUCAAGUAAAUCCUUCCCUUGUUUAGAAGUGUAAAAUUUAGAUGAGGUAAAUAGAGGGUUAAUGUAAUACAAAAAUAUUAUUUUAUCCUUCCCUUAAAAAAUCGUAUUAUAUAAUAUAUAACAUAAUGACAUAAAUGUAUUUAGAAAAUAUUAGUAAGAGUGAUUAUGUAUUUAACCUUAUUUUCCUCCCAAAAACCUCCAAUUUGGGGGAAUACCAAAAAAAUGGUAUAAUAAGGGCUUUAGAAGAUUUUAAAAAUUCUCCAAAAUCCUUCCCAUUCUCAAACUAAACUCCCAAACAAGGGAAUCCCCUCCUAAGCCCUCCCCUUCCCCUUCAAAAUAGGUCUCCCAAAGAAGGCCUAACGGAAAUAAUCAUUUUAGUUGAUAUAGCAUGUUUAAGGUAACAUAUUUCUAGGAAUACGAAUUUUUUUAAUACAUUACAAAACAUAGGUUUAGCAUAGAAAAUACAUUGCCUUAAUAAUAACAGAUGCAUUACCUUUGAUGCAUGACUCCUAUUUUGUUUUUGGAGACAAUGGAAUUGUUGUAAUCAGAUUAGACCGACUCCUUCUUAAUAAGAAGAUGAGUGUAUCGCAAAUAUUCCCCUCAAGAGGAAGACUAUCGCCACUAAUUGUUUUGUUUAUGUGUAUGCGUGUGAUGUAUGUGUGUUCUAUGAUAUGUGUGUAAUGUCUCAAAAAAUUAUACUUGUCUUUGUUGCUAGAAUGCCUUUUAUAAUGGUUUAUAUAAAUCCUUUGACUUGCGAAUGGAAACUUAGCAAGGUGACUUUUGCUCUCUGAUUAUUUCAUUUAAAAUUGUUCAUCAAUGCUGUGCAUAUGUAACUGUUGAGAGAAUUUUUUUUGGUUUGCUUUCACAUAUAUCUCUUGGCUGAUUGCUUAGGAUUCUGUAACUGUCGUGAUUCCCUGUUAAUACCACCUUAAUUGCUUCUUUUGAAAUCUUUUCUUCUCCGAGUUCUUUCAUUGCUCUAUUACGCUGAUUCAGAAUAUGUAACUGGAAAAGGAAUAUGUUAUUUGGUUUGAAUCCUUUUAUUGCCAAUUUGCCAUCAUUUGAUAUCCAAUUGUUUGAUAAUCCACGACUGAUUUCCUUUUCCCCUGCUUAUAUCUUUUCAUUAAUGCCUGAAAUUCUGAAAAAUAUCUAAUAUUUGGUCUUUCUUUGCAGUACACGUCCUCGAGGGAACAAAUUCUUGUCUGAUGGGCAGUUCCUCAGCUUCAUGAUGUUGAGGCUUUAUUAAGCAUGGUUGAUCCUACACUUGCUGCUGAAUAUUAACUAGUAGAGAUGUUUGAUGUGUGUCAUCUGAAGAGGGCCUAAUUUGGUGUCCCCGUUGUUUUCGUCAUUUCCUACUAACCUACUCAACUUUCACAUGCCAAGUCCUACCAAGAAUUUUGUCCAAUAAGUUUUCAUAAAAUUUAGACACCAACACUUUUCUCAUGUGUGGUCAGUAGUCGCAUUUAUAAGUAUGAUGAUUUCCUAGUUGAUUAAACCAUAUCAUGUUGGUGUUGCACAAGUGUGAUAACAACCCAUUUAUUUGAUAAUUGUUUCCAAAUUCUUGAUAAGGAAAUGUAAUUCCAUUGUGCAUCUAUGGUUUCAUAUUCUUCCUUCACAACGACAUUUUGAUAGUCACUGUACCAAGUCACGUUCAAGCAUUGGUUUUAAAUAUUUUAAUACCCCAACCAUAUUAUUAUAGAUCCUCUGAAAAGGUAAUGGUUUAACUCUUUGGUAGGAAAUCAAAAGAAUAAAUUGAGAAACUUUGUUGAUUUACGCAUUCCACUGAAGUUGUAUAUGUUUGAUCUAUAUGCAUAGUUGUGAAAGAAACUUAAAUGGGACAUGCAUUUAUGAAAUAUCCAUAUUUGUUGCCACUGAAGGAUUCAUUCAUGUAAUUUCAUAACAAUGUUGUUUGAAGGCUAUGACAAAGACAUUUGGCUAUAUGGGUUUUAAUAAAAAACAUAACUAGGACCAAAGAAAUGUGAAGAAUGUAGUAGCUGCUGUGGUGGAGAUUUCUCAAAUUAAUAAGUAGAGGGUUGCUUUCCACUAUUAAUUAAGCGACCAUAAAAAUAUGAGUGCUAUACAAAAACAAUGCAAUUGAUCCAAGUUAGAGGCAUUGUUUACUUAUUGCCACUACAACACGCUUACUAUAACCAUAUUCAUGCUCUUUUAAAUUUGUAUGUUAUUUUGCGAUUUAUACAUUUUUAUUUUUGAAAGUGUAAAGUGUCAAGAAUUGCACUAGCAAUAUUUUGUUGAUGUUUUGAUAAAGACAAGGAGUUAGUAAAAGCUUGAAGAUGACUCAACAAUCAACAAGCCUAGAACUCUAGGGUCAUAUCUAGACUAGGUUAUAUCAAUAGAGUUAGUGAAACCUAGAUGCAAGUCUGGGAUGUGUGCCUUAGUUAGUGAUUCUAGGUUAGGUAAACCUAGAUGCAAGUCUCACAAGCCAUAAAUAUUGACAUAUCAUAUUCAUAAGGCAUAUCAUCUAGUUUAUUAUGUGUUCCUGCAUUGAUCAUACAUGUUAUAUGUGCAUAUUAGGCAUAACAUAAUUGCUAAAACAUGUAUAUGUGUCAAGCAUAACAUAUAAGUAGUUUACAAUUUAAUCAUGUAUUAAAAUAUGCUGGUUAAUCGAUUAACGCGGGGUCUUAAUCGAUUAACGUGUCUAUUUUCUGUUUUAACUGUUUUUUGUUUUAAUUGCGUAACUAAAAAACGGUUUGUGGAGCCAAAUCCGUUUUGUAUAAAUUCUGGUAAAUUGCAGAAACGUGUAGCAUUGCAUAAUCAUUGUUAGAAACUAUUAGAGAGCAUAUUUUCAUGAUUUACUGCAUUUAGGCAGAAGAGAGAUGCAUGUGUGAGAAAGAGAGAUUAACAUGCUUAGUUGAUAUUGUUCAUGAUGUAUUGCAUGUAGUUUUAAUGUGCUAACUCUCAUUCAUACUUCCUUACAUGUACGUGCAUUCUUUUUAGAGAUUUUCGAGAAAGAUUAUGCAUUAUCUGUAUUUUGUAUUAACGCGCAUACAUUCAUGAUGGCCUGUGUUACUUGAGUGUGGGUUAAUCUUUGAAUUUUCAUAGUUGUAAUUUGAGCAUAUUAGUACUUAGUAAAACUCUGUUUUUGUAUACUGUUUUGUACAUGAGGUGUUGUCUCUUGGUGUCUUACCACCAUUGAGAUUUAGUGAAUCUUCACCAAGGCUUGGAGGUCUUGAAUUUAGAGCGAGAAUCUUGGCUGGGUUGGAUCGCGAGAAAGGUUUUCUUGGGCGAUAGGGAUAGUCAAACCAAGGUUAGAGGUUCUUGAAAUUCAAGAAAGAAGUGUCUAGAGUCUUGUAAUUGAAUUGGUGUAUGUAACAAUACAAAGUUUUCAAUAUAGUGAAGAGAAAUCUCCCAAGAUCAGAAGGGGAGGCCUGGAUGUAGUUUGCAAGUGGACCCGCAAAUGAACCAGGAUAAAAAUCCUAUUGUGCAAGCUAUAAUCUCUUUUAUAAUUCAAGCUGUUUUAAUUCGUGUAUUAAGCUGAUAUUUUGCAUACUUCUACUAUGCCAUAUCCUUGUUAAUUGUGCAUAAAAAUAUAUGUUGUAUCUCUGCUUGUUUUUUGGUAAUUUGCUGUGCAAGAAGCUAAUCUGCCAAUUCUGUCUCUUAUACGUUUUAAUCGAUUAAGCCCACUCGUUAAUCAAUUACCUGGGCUUUUUUCAAGAACCGGGUUUUGGGUGUGAGAAGCGGUAAUUGAUAACCGCUACACCUAUUCAACCCCCCUUCUAGGUGUGCCUAGACCACUGAUAUCUAACAAGUGGUCUCAGAGCUAGUACGAUGUGCUAGCUCAAUUGCAUACGCGUGAUCAUAAGGGAAUUAAAUGGGUUCCACCAACCCCUUUGGUAGUGAUGGCGCAUCCAUUAAGCAUCAUCCCGUAUUCAUUGGCGAGGAAUACACCUACUAGAAAGUCCGGAUGAAAUUUUUUAUUGAGGCCAUUGAUUCAGAUAUUUGGGAAUCGGUUAUCAACGGGCCCUUCGUCCCACUACACUCAGUGGAUGAUGAACCGAAAGAAAAACCUAAAAGUUUGUGGAUCGAUGAGGAGCGCAAAAAGGUUCUGUACAACCUACGCGCUAUGAACAUAAUCACAUCGACCCUAUCAUGUGACGAAUUCUUUCAGGUAUCUCAGUGUCAAAGUGCUAAGGAGAUGUGGGACACUUAACAAGUGUCUCACGAGGGCACUAGCGAGGUCAAGCGUGCCAGACUGAAUGUGCUGACACAUGAAUACGAAUUAUUUCGUAUGUUACCAAGUGAAUCUAUCAGCGAUAUGCAAAAACGAUUCACUCAUAUUCAAGUGAAUCUAUAGGUAAACUUUUUACCAAAGGAGAACUUACUAACAAAGUUUUACGCUGUCUUGACAGGAGAUGGCAACCUAAAGUAAUGGCUAUCAUGGAAUCUAAGGACCUUGAUUCCAUGCCUUUUGCAACAUUGUUUGGAAAGCUUCAAGAGCACGAGAUCGAGCUUGGACAUCUGACCAUGCAUGAAGACUUAGACCGUAAAAUGAAAUGCAUAUCUCUCAAAGCAACAACAUCACAACCUACUGAGGAGAUACAUAAUGAUGACUCUGACUCUGACAUUGACGAUGAAACGUUAACCCUUCUCGUACGAAAAUUUGGGAAAUUCUUGAAGAAGAAAGGAGGUUUUAAACGUUUCUAGAAGAAAGAGACGUGUGAAUCAACAAGAAAUGGCAAGAAUAAAGAACGCUUCACUUGCCAUGAAUGUGGUAAGCCGAGACACAUGAAAUUUCAAUGUCCCACUUACCUAAAGAAGGUUGAUUCAGAAAAGAGCACUCCCCGGGACAUAAGUCGAAGAAAGCCUAUAUUUUCUGGGAUGUAUUGGAGGAGGAGACGACAUCAAGCACCUCUGAUGAAGAGGAGACCGCCAAGCUAUGCUUAAUGACUAGAACAGAUGAUGCUUGCGAUCAGGUUGUACAAAGGAUGCUGAUAAUGAGGUAUAUUCUGACACCUCAUCCUCUUCUAAUGAUUCUCCUUCGUAUGAGGUUUUAUAUGAUGUGUAUGUCGAAAUGCAUGAAGAAAUAAAGAAAGUAGCUAGGAUUAGUGCCGAUAGAAAACGGGUAAUCCUACUAAAUGAUCAAAAAAUAUUAACACUAUAGAAAGAAUUAUAUGAACUUAAACUUGAAAAUGAAACUUUAGAUCUAAUUUUUUCAUAUAAUUCAUGCGACUGCUCUAACGAUAAAUUAUGUCAAACAACUGUCUGUGAGUCUUGCGAGGACUUGAGAAAUGAGAAUUUAAAACUUAAUGAAAAACUCGCAAAACUUACAGAGAGUCAAAACCAAUUAGAUACCUUGCUAAGUAAAACAAGAAAUGUUAGUGAUCAUACUAGAUUAGGGUAUAUCCCCCUAUUAUGUAGAAAUAGACCAUAUAGGAAACCUAUAACUCGUACUAAUAAAAAGCCUUAUAAUAAAAAUAGAGUUCCUACAUGUUUCUAUUGUGGCACACAUGGCCACACCUCUUACUCCUGUUACAUCAGGAAAUAUGGGAUACCGAGUGGUAUUUACGCUUGGGUGAAAAAGGGAGAUAACUCCCUGGUUACUAACAGAAAAGGACCCAAUAUAAUUUGGAUACCUGAAACCAGCAAGUGAUCUAUUUUGUAGGUAUGUCUACGAACACAUGGACAACAUUGGUAUCUUGGCAGUGGGUGUUCGAGACAUAUGACAAGAGAUAUGUCAAAAUUCCUAGACCUAUCAUUGAAGGAAAAAGGUUUCGUCAUAUACGGAGACAACAACAAAGGGAAGAUCUUAGGCACCGGAACAAUUGGCAACUCAACUCAUGCUGUAAUCGAGAAUGUUCUCUAUGUCGAAGGUCUAGAACAUGAUCUUUUGAGUAUUAGCUAACUCUGCGACAAAGGUAAUCGUGUGUCAUUUGAUUCUGAAUGUUGUAUAAUUCGUGACGUUUUAUCUAAUAAUGUAAAGUUUAUCGGCUAUCGUGUUAAUAACAUAUAUAUGGUUGACCUGGAGGAUGUCACUUCUCUUUUCUCAAAAUGUUUUAUUUCAAAAGAAGAUGACAUUUGGCUUUGGCAUAGGCGGGUCGCUCACAUUCAUGUGAAGCAUCUAGAAACAUUAUCUAAAAAUAAUUUGGUUGUUGGUCUGUCAAAACUUGAUUUUAAAACUCAGGAUUCUUGUGACAUGUGUCAAAAAUGCAAGCAAGUUAAGAAUUAUUUUGGUAAAAAGAAUGUGAUAUCCACUAAUAGACCUUUGGAGCUUCUCCAUAUGGACUUGUUUGGACCAUCACAUAUGAUGAUUUUUGGUGGAAGCUUUUAUGCUUUGGUAAUUGUUGACGAUUUUUCUAGAUUCACAUGGACCCUAUUUUUGGCGUCUAAGAGCGAUGCAUAUAAAUCUUUUAAAUGUCUGGCCAAACAAAUUCAAAACCAGUUUAACCUUAAAAUUGUUUACAUACGAUCCGACCAUGGCAGAGAAUUUGAAAACCAUAAGUUUAAUAAAUUUUGUAAUAAGUCUGGCAUCAUGCAUCAGUUCUCGGCUCCUCGUACCCCUCAACAAAUAGAGUUGUUAAGAGGAAAAAUCGAGUCCUAGAGGAGCUCGCAAGAACCAUGCUAAGUGAUGAGACCUAUGCUCCUGUAGCCAGACUUGAGGCCAUUAGGAUACUCUUAUCCUUCGCAUCUAUCAUGAAUUUUAAGCUCUUCCAAAUGGAUGUUAAGAGCGCAUUUCUAAACGGCUAUAUUCAAGAGGAGGUGUACGUAGACCAACCAGCAGGAUUUGAAAUCUUCAAAUACUCGAACCAUGUUUAUAAACUCAAGAAGGCCCUUUAUGGCCUGAAAUAGGCUCCUAGAGCCUGGUACGAUAUAUUGAAUUCGUUCCUAUUAGAGAAAGGGUUCGAAAGAGGUAUGGUCGACACCACUCUCUUUAUCCGUAGAUUAGAUAAUAAUUUUUACUUGCUCAAAUCUAUGUUGAUGAUAUAAUCUUCGGAUCUACUAAUGACAUUCUUUGUAAGGAAUUUUCCGAGAUGAUGCAAGGCAGUGAGCUAACCUUCUUCCUUAGGCUUCAGAUUAAACAAAUGGAAAGUGCCAUCUUCAUUCAUCAACUGAAAUAUUGCAAGGAAUUACUAAAGAAAUUUGAUAUGGAGCAAUGUAAAGAUGCAUCUACUCCUAUGGCGUCCUCAUGCUAUCUAGAUAAAGAUGAAAAGGGAAAAGCUAUCGAGGUAACCAAAUAUCGUGGGAUUAUCGGCUUAUUAUUAUAUUUGACUGCAAGUCACCCCGAUAUUAUGUUCAGUGUUUGUAUGUGUGCUAGGUUUCAAGCUUUGCCUAAAGAUUCACAUUAUAGUGAUGUUAAACGCAUCAUGAGAUAUUUAAAAGGAACAAUAAAUAUGGGAUUAUGGUAUCCUAUGGAUGCCUCAUUAUCCUUGCUAGGUUACUCUGAUUCUGACUUCCCUGGGUGUAAGUUGGAUCGGAAGAGCACUAGUGGGACUUGUCAUUGAUUAGGUAGUUCCUUAGUGGCAUGGCACAGCAAAAAGCAAGCAUGCGUUGAUUUGUCCACCGCAGAAGCGGAAUACAUCGCCGUUAGCGUGUGUUUCGCUCACAUCCUGUGGAUGAAGUAGCAACUUAAGGACUUUGGGCUUAAACUAGAAAAGAUCCCCAUUAAUUGCGACAAUACGAGUUCUAUCAACAUUUCCGAGAAUCCCGUUUUGCAAUCGAGAACCAAACAUAUAGAGAUUAGGCAUGACUUUUUACGUGAUAACGUGCAAAAAGGCGAUUGUGUGCUAGAAUUCGUAAAAACCUCUAAGCAAUUAGCAUAUAUUUUCACCAAGCCCCUCUAACGAGAUACCUUCUAUGUUCUUCGAAGAGAACUAGGAAUCCUUGAUGAAAAAUAUCUUGAGUGAGUUUAUGUUAUUGCCUUGCAUGAUUAUUUACCUUGUGUGCUUCAAAAUGCAAAUAUGUUGAAUGCUAGUUAUUCCUUAUAUGAUCCAUGAUUCUAUAAAUAAGCUCUAUGUAUAUAUGUGACUGCUCAAUAUCGCCUUCUAUAAGUUAGAAAUCUUUGCAUGCUUUUAAAUUUCCAAAAUGCUCUUGAUUCUUGAUGUAUGUCUACNNNNNNNNNNNNNNNNNNNNNNNNNNNNNNNNNNNNNNNNNNNNNNNNNNNNNNNNNNNNNNNNNNNNNNNNNNNNNNNNNNNNNNNNNNNNNNNNNNNNUGCUACUUUGGUUCCAUCUGUUUUGCAGACACCUAUAUUGGAGCUUAAAGCUUUGCCUGAAAACCUCAAGUAUGCUUACUUAGAGGGUGAUGAGAAGCUUCCUGUUAUUGUUUCCACCUCCCUUGAUGUUGAUCAAGAGGAGAAGUUGUUGCAAGUGUUGAAGAAGCCUAAGAAUGCAAUUGGUUGGACCUUAGCUGAUAUUCCUGGUAUUAGCCCAUCUAUGUGCAUGCAUAGGAUACUCUUGGAAGAUGGAGCUAAACCAGUGAGACAACCACAAAGGAGACUCAAUCCAGUCAUCCUUGAGGUUGUGAAGAAAGAGGUCACGAAGCUUUUACAAGCUGGGAUUUUAUAUCCCACUUCUGAUAGUCAUUGGGUGAGCCCAGUUCAGGUGGUUCCAAAGAAGACAGGAAUUACAGUGGUGAGAAAUGAGAGAGAUGAGUUGAUUCCUACGAGAGUGCAGAACAGUUGGAGAGUCUGCAUUGAUUAUAGGAGGCUCAACCAAGCAACAAGAAAUGAUCACUUUCCUUUAUCAUUUAUUGAUCAGAUGCUUGAGCGCUUAGCAGCUAAAUCUCAUUACUAUUUUCUUGAUGGUUUUUCUGGGUACUUCCAGAUCCAUAUUGCUCCUGAGGAUCAGGAGAAGACCACAUUCACCUGCCCCUUUGGCACNNNNNNNNNNNNNNNNNNNNNNNNNNNNNNNNNNNNNNNNNNNNNNNNNNNNNNNNNNNNNNNNNNNNNNNNNNNNNNNNNNNNNNNNNNNNNNNNNNNNGAGCAUUUUCAGUGAUUUUUUAGAGAAUUGCAUAGAGGUGUUUAUGGAUGAUUUUACAGUUUAUGGAUCUUCAUUUGAUGCAUGUUUGGAUAGUCUGGAUAGAGUUCUUCAUAAAUGCAUCAAAACUAACCUUGUUCUAAAUUACGAAAAAUGUCAUUUCCUGGUAGAGCAAGGUAUAUUUUUCGGGCAUGUGAUCUCAAAUAGGGGAAUCGGGGUAGACCCUGCCAAAAUAGAUGUUAUUUCACAAUUGUCUUACCCCUCUUUCGUGCGAGAGGUUCGCUUUUUUCUUGGUCAUGCAGGUUUCUAUCACAGGUUCAUUAAAGAUUUUAGCAAGAAGGCUCUUCCACUAUCCAACAUGUUGCAAAAGGAGGUGGUCUUUGAUUUUGAUGAGAGAAGUAAAGAGGCAUUUGAUUGCCUCAAGACAGCCUUGACCACCACUCCUAUUAUCCAGACACUUGAUUGGACAGUCCCUUUUGAGCUGAUGUGUGAUGCUUCUAAUUAUGCANNNNNNNNNNNNNNNNNNNNNNNNNNNNNNNNNNNNNNNNNNNNNNNNNNNNNNNNNNNNNNNNNNNNNNNNNNNNNNNNNNNNNNNNNNNNNNNNNNNNAUGCUUAGUUCGUGUGAAUUUGUUAAUCGUUUCAUAAUUUUACUGAUUUCGCUUAGUUUGAUGUUUAGGUUCUGGAACUUUGAAUUGAUUAUCGCUUAGUUAAUUGAUUCUCAACAAAUUCGGAAGUUAAUGGUUGGAAUCUGAAAAUAAUCUUUUGAAACCGAGGAUUGAGUUGUGAACAAAUGAACCAAAGGGAUUUAGCCGUUUUAUUACAUUGUUUAACUACUCUUUCUGAAUUUAAUUUAUGUUCAUACUAUCCAACAGCAAAACCCCCCUUGUGUGUGUGUGAGUAUAAGGUGUUUGAAGCUUUGCCCUAAAGAUAAUCCUUGGGAAAUGACCUAGGAGUCACUUCCUAGUACUGCAGUUUUAAUUGUUAUAUUAUUUGUAUCGGGUACGGCCUCGAUCAAUUCUGUACAUCUGAUGCUAUUUAAUCGAUUAACUCCUUAUUUUAAUCGAUUACCAGGACACAUUUUUUAAAAAACCUAUUUUUUUACUUGGUUAAUCGAUUAAGUCUGGUAGUUAAUUGAUUAACGACACCAUAUAAAUAGGAACAGAAGCGUUUCUAGGCAUUUUUCAAAACCUCUCUCAUCUCCUUUUCUCUCAACUUCCAAAGGAACAAGUUCAAUGUCAAUCCUAAGCUUUAACUUAGCCUAAAACCGAAUAAUCCAACCCCAUUCCAUUCCAUAAACCUUCAUCUCCAUCAUUGAUUUCCAAGAAAUCCCUUUACCCCCAAUUCCGAACCCUAAGAUAGGUUUUCCGUGAAUCCCUCCUUAAACCUCCAAAUCAACUUGGUCUUUCAGCUAUAAAUGGAAAGAGGUCGUUCAAAAAGGAUUAAAACAACCGGUCAACGUCCACCACGUGCUCCAAAAGUCGUAUCUUCGAAUCAACAUGUGAGACAAGACCGUGGAGACCCAUAUUACUCUUUGAUUUUGCAAGAGACUCGGUUGUCCAAGUUUCAGGGAAGAAAGCCUACGUACAUAAGUUAUGCCAACUUAACUUGGUUAGUGGAACAAAACUUCGAUUAUCCACAUGGAAUGCAAGCACAAGGGGUUGUCCCCUUUUUGGAAUGCAAGCACAGUUGAGUGAUGACAUAUUCAUGAAUGUGGGUGGAUUAUCAACUAAUGGUGCUAGUCUAGGAGAUUGUGAUUGGGUUAACAACUCUUUUGAUGAUGCUGAAGUGUAUAAGUCGUGUUUGAGGAGACCUCAACUAUAUGUUCAAGGAGAAUUGACAAAAGUCAGGUCAUUAUCCGUAGAGAAUAGGCUCAUGCACUAUCUGAUUGCCUACAUAUUGAUUCAAAGGAACACAAAUCAUGCACAACCUACCGUGAAUGAUUUGAGGUUCAUGUAAGCUGUCAAGGAAAAUGUGAUGAUUAAUUGGCCUGAAGAGAUCCUGAAGGUCAUGUAUAGUGUCUCUACAUCGCAAUUGAAGUUGCUUCCCUACAGUAUUUUCAUCUCGCACAUCAUUGACUAUCUGAAUAUUGAUGUUUCAGAUACUAUUAUUGUGGAGUGUUCUGAUAAAGAUCACUUGGUUGGUG